ACGGAGGGUGCAAGCGUUAAUCGGAAUUACUGGGCGUAAAGCGUGCGUAGGUGGUUUGUUUAGUCAGAUGUGAAAGCCCCGGGCUCAACCUGGGAACUGCAUUUGAAACUGGCAAACUAGAGUAUAGGAGAGGAAAGUGGAAUUUCAGGUGUAGCGGUGAAAUGCGUAGAUAUCUGAAGGAACAUCAAUGGCGAAGGCAGCUUUCUGGACUAAUACUGACACUGAGGUACGAAAGCGUGGGUAGCAAACAGGAUUAGAUACCCUGGUAGUCCACGCCGUAAACGAUGAUAACUAGCCGUUGGGGGGAUUUACCCUUUAGUGGCCAAGCUAACGCGUUAAGUUAUCCGCCUGGGGAGUACGGCCGCAAGGUUA
rnacentral:rRNA from 1 species